GUAUUGGUGGUUCAGUGGUAGAAUUCUCACCUUCCAUGUAGGAAACCGGGGUUUGAUUCCCGGACAAUACA
rnacentral:tRNA from 1 species